GUUUAUUCUGCGUGGCGUGUGACACGAUACGACAACUCUCACCUCGUUGUCACGCGACUCUUGUCACUCGAUUCCGAUUGUCGUCUCGAGUGAGGUGAGAGCUUCAUUUUAGAUGUGAGAAACCAAAUGAACCAAAACAAAUGUGGUGUUCAUUUGUAGAACUGUCAAAUCGGCGGUGCAUCAAGAAUGCGCUUUGAUUACGGCUUAUUCGAAAAGCGGUAUUUUCAUUGUUAUUUAAAUUUAAUAUGUUUUUAAUAUUUUCACGUAAUAAACACGAAAUAUUAACCGCAUAAAGAAAAGUUAUAUGAGAUUCAAUAAUUAUGAGGUACUUCACAACUUUCAAAGUGAGUAUUUUCCAUUAUUUUGGUGUCGCAAACAUUUCAGGCGUUUGGACCUUAUUUAAAAUUAUUCGCGUGCCUUGUGUUAUUGAACUCCAAGAAACUUCCGCAAAUUUUCGUUUUUGCUCAUGGAUAGUUUGAUCCAUGGUAAUAUUUUAGAAUUACUAAAGCCGGAAGUUCCGGCCCCGAACCCGCAUGCUGACUGUGGCAGAAGUUUGAUGACGGAGAUUCUUAUUUUGAGACCUCAUCGACGGUUUCGGCCGCGGUCGUGCAGCGGAAAUAGUGAAGGUGUCCCCGGUGUCCCGUACCGUAUAGACGGAACCAUUGGAUGAAAUUGAAAACAUCCAGUCUCUCUACCUUCCGGUCGUACCAGUUUGGUGAUUUCCAACUAAUAGCAAGAACUUCCAAGUACAGCUGUGAAAUGGAUUUUCUUCGGUGGAAUCUACAUCAUACAAGUGGAUGCUGGGACUGCCGUUGGGCUGAAUUAUUAAUUGAAAUUGUUGUGGACACAAAAGGACCAAGUACUAAAAUGUGUAAAUGCUUCAAGAUCAUACGUGACAAAGUAUAAUAAAAGUAUUCCACGAUGCUGUGGAUAUCUAUUGCUUAAAA